AUCUUCCCCAGACACACGCACAACAUCAUCCACAGAGGUGCAGAGGGGGAAACAAAGAAAAGAGGUUUCAACAAGUUGGGAGAUUAGGGGCUGGUUAUCAAAGUAGAUUUAUUGUGCCUUGUUUCAAGCUAAGGAUGAAAAUACCCCGUGGGCAUGCAGAAGGGGGUCAUGGGACUCCCAAAAGGAUUACCUUGAACUGGAGUCAUGGGACUCAGGCGAACAAAGACCUUGCUCACAUGCUCAUCAUAUUAGCCGGCCCUCAUAAAGUGAAGACGUUUCAUGACCUGUGGGAUUCAAUAGUAGAGCUUGACUGGGAGAGCAGCAUGAGAGGACGGCUCAGCUGAAGGAGCGACAGACUUCGCUUAACUUUUCAAACCCUAAUGUGUUGCAUUACCAAAGGGCAGGACUGAUGCUCCAACAGAGGACCAUGUGCACAGAAAGCUUGGAUCGAGAGGACAUUUCUGAAAAGGGAAUGUGUUCACAUAUUUCCCAGUAAGGAUCCAACCAGAUGUGCCUGUGGUCAGCUGGUCACGCAGCACGUGGCCAUCCCCCCUGGCGCCAAUUCCUUAGCAG